GAUGAGGACAUCCUCCACUAUUACCCGUUGGCAAAGACACAAUUGGCCCAGUUGGCCCAAUUGUAGUCGGACGACGACCAUGUGAGCCUCAGAAUUAUCCCACCUCGCUUAACUUGGGAGGAGGAAGCCACUAUAAAAGGGAGAGCCACCCUUCCCCCAUUGGACUAGUCUUUUGGGGCGAUUAGGCCUUUCCCUAAGUUGGGUGUGCUUGAUGAACUGUUGGGCUCCAGGCAACCCUAAUUUGUUGGGCCUCGGCCAACCCCACCUGGGCUGGAUGUAUUAUCUGGUAUCAAAGCUAGGGCCCAUUUUAAGAAGGUGGGAAUGAUGAGGACAUCCUCCACUAUUACCCGUUGGCAAAGACACAAUUGGCCCAGUUGGCCCAAUUGUAGUCGGACGGCGACUGUGUGAGCCCCAGAAUUAUCCCACCUCGCUUAACUUGGGAGGAGGAAGCCACUUUAAAAGGGAGAGCCACCCUUCCCCCAUUGGACUAGACUUUUGGUGCGAUUGGGCAUUUCCCUGAGUUGGGUGUGCUUGAUGAACUAUUGGGCUCCGGGCAACCCUAAUUUGUUGGGCCUCGGCCAACCCCACCUGGGUUGGGUGUAUCAUCUGGUAUCAGAGCUAGGGCCCAUUUUAAGAAGGUGGGAAUGAUGAGGACAUCCUCCACUAUUACCCGUUGGCAAAGACACAAUUGGCCCAGUUGGCCAAAUUGUAGUCGGACGACGACCGUGUGAGCCUCAGAAUUAUCCCACCUCGCUCAACUUGGGAGGAGGAAGCCACUUUAAAAGGGAGAGCCACCCUUCCCCCAUUGGACUAGUCUUUUGGGGCGAUUGGGCCUUUCCCUGAGUUGGUUGUGCUUGAUGAACUAUUGGGCUCUGGC
rnacentral:lncRNA from 1 species